UCGUUUGGAUCUUCUUUCUUUACCGUUGAAAUUAAAACAAAAAAACAAAAAAACAUGGCGAUCGAGAGUCCAUGAUCGAACCACGUUGCGAGUUGCGAGUUGCGACUUGUAAAGAACGCCAUUGAGUGUGAUUGUGUUUUGAGGGAAGAAUAGUUUCCCACAGUUAGUUAGGUUUCAGACCCACAACACCAACGGAGUACCAAUGUUGAUCAAGAACAGAAAACAGGAUUUGCACUAUUGCUUUCAUCUUCAGAUCUUCUCAUGUCUCUUUCUCACACUCUGGAAUAUUUGGGUAAAGACAGCAAUCGGCGCGAAUACUGAUUCAUUGUAAGACGCAGCUAUGGUGAAGAAACUGGCAGCCUGAAAGAAAUUGACGGUGAUGAUUGAUAUGAAGAAACUAUUGCCGUGGAGCCUUAAGAAUUCGUACUACUCGAGAAGCCCUAUCAAUUCGCCCAGUUGAUUAAAGUUUUGGCUACGACGGAAUCUGAAAAGGCCUUUUGUCAAGAGCAAAACGCAACCUGAGCCUACCUGAGACAAGAAAUUCAGUCAGGGGGCUCCCACAAACUAGUUGACAAAUGAACGUCCUAGUUUUUGUCUUAAAAGAUGAGACUAGACUUUCAGACGGUCGUCAACGUUGAGAAAGAAGAAGAAUCUGAAUCCAAAGUAGAUCCAAAAGAACCAACUACUAACGGUAUACCAAAAGAACUUAUUCCACACGCUCCAAGACUAGCAUUAUUGUGGCUUAUCAUUGUUGACUUACGAAUAAUGGUUUUACUGGUGGAGUCAUCAAUGAAGAAAGCAGUGGUACCUCCAGCAAAUCGAAAUAUUCGUUACCAACCGACGUUAUUUUCAAUUUUGGCAUUGGACGGCCGGCACCAGACGUAUAUUAACCAGUACACGAGCAAUCCACUUGUGGCCAGUAAGCACCAGGCAUCGGAGGAGAAACACAGUAAAUGUUACUUGUCGCUCAAGUUUCCCGUUACCAAACCUUUAUCACCUCCAUCAUAUCAAAGGACUAAAGCAUCAGGUGAUGAAAUUCGUCUUUACGGUCAAUUGAGUUCGACCGUAUCACGAUUCACGAAUUGAAACAUCAACAACGAAACAAUUUGAAACAAUCAAGGUACCAUCAAACAGCGAAGUGCGCCGGCUCACUCGGCCCUUGCGGCACUGACGUACUCUUCUUCCUCUGUCGCCGUCGUUCUGUCUCCGUCACUCGGCCGACGGGCGCCAUCCACCAGCAAAACCAACAUAAUCUCGGUCAGCAUUGUGCGCCCCUGUCUCUUAAGAACUAGCGACGUGUUGAACGACAUUGGCAACAUGCUAGCUGACUGACGGACGAAUUGGGCUCUAUGUUGGAAGAGGAAAGCAGUAACCAGCCCAUAAGGCAGAAAUCCUAAAUGGGGGGUCGCAAAAAGCGUUGUUUGUAAUUAUAUAUAUCUUAACCUGGAUUUUUAAACGUUUGCUGAUCCCCUCCUUUCCCUUGGAGUAAGAAAAACGUUCCGGCCUCCACUUUUUGUUCAAUGCCAGGCAGCUGCGUCAAAGUGCCUAGUUCACAAGCAUGAUCCAUUUGGAUUGAUGAAACAGUUGAUGAACAAGUGUUGGAUAUUCCUAUAUUCUUAUUUCUCCCUUUUUCUUCUUCAAUUUAACACUGGUCCAUCUCGAUGGAAAUGAUUUCUUUUACGUUACGUGACGAUUUUAACUAGUGGUAUUUUUUUUUUCUUUCUCCGUCCUUUUUGUUAUUGCCCGCCCAGCCAACUGAUGUACCUAUAUAAUAUUGUAUGGAAUACAUGUACACGUUUAUCGUAUCCCACUUUUGAGCAGAUAAACGGUGUCUGUAAGCCAACUGCACGUUUUUUUUAUUGAAAAACAAAAACAAGCCCUCCUCAAUAAUCGGACUGGUUUGAACCCUUAUAUUUUUCAUCCAAUCUACGCGUUUUGAGUGUUCCUCCCGUCGUCCUUUGAUUUAUGCUAGCUUUUGAUCUUCACACUAAAUAAAAAGAUUUCUUCAUUUGA
rnacentral:lncRNA from 1 species